UGAAGUGCGUCAAACCAGUAAAAUGUUAAAAGUUCAAGACUCUAGAGAAUCUCGAAGCAGGAACAAAGCAGCUACUAGCGGUUGGAGUUUUAAGUUAAUUCAGAAAUCGCUGUGGCAUCAGAUAUAUUCAAAACAGAAAUCUUUCAAAGACAAUGAACUUGCCUGAAGGAUCAGACGAGAGCUGGAAGGAUAGCAUCUAGAAAUAUUCAACAGACAACGGAUACCCAUUGGCCGAGAACGGUCUGAGCACUAAUGUGAAGAGAAGUCACCGUAAAGAGAUGAUACACGGAAUUUAAGUCGUCUGUGAAGAGAUAAUGAGGAGAAUACACAGAAUUGAAUUUACCAUUGAGAAGCUUA